rnacentral:sRNA from 1 species
GCUGGGCGUGGUGGUGCGCGCCUGUAAUCCCAGCUACUCAGGAGGCUGAGGCAGGAAAAUCGCUUGAACCCGGGAGGCGGAGGUUGCAGUGAGCUGAGAUCGUGCCACUGCACUCCAGCCUGGGCAACAGAGCGAGAUUCAGUCUCAA